rnacentral:snoRNA from 1 species
CACCUCUCAGGGUCGCACCCGGAGAGUUUCCAGUCCUCUACCGGUCUCGGCUAUGCGAGGGAGCCUCAAGCCGAGGCCUACCCACUCCAUUCCUAGUUUGGCCAGUGGCUAGCGAGUGGAAGGCAAUCUGCUACAAGU